rnacentral:lncRNA from 1 species
UUCACUUCAUAUCUAUAUAAUACCAUACUCUUUGUACCAAAACCUCAACCUAUUCCCUCUUGUCUUUCCUUUCCUCAUAUGAAAAUGGAGUCAUCUAAAAUAAAAUGUCUUCUUUUCAUUUCCAUGCUUUUCCUUUCUUCAUUCACUCCCAUUCUUGGUUGUGGAUAUUGUGGAAAACCCUCUCACAAACACAAAAAACCCAAAACUACCUCUCCAAGUAUUAAACCCCCUAUUAACUUGCCACCCAUUGGAAUUCCACCGGUGACAGUUCCGCCGAUUGUAAAACCACCUAUCAACUUGCCGCCUGUUAUUCCACCAGUUAUUAAGCCGCCCAUCGGAAUUCCACCUGUCACAGUUCCACCAGUAGUAAAACCACCUAUCAACUUGCCACCAGUUAUCAAGCCACCUAUCGGAAUUCCACCCGUUGUAAAACCACCUAUCAACUUUCCGCCCGUUGUUCCACCUGUUAUUAAGCCACCUAUCGGAAUCCCACCGGUGACAGUUCCACCAGUUCUUAAGCCACCAAUUGGUUUACCACCUAUUGUAAAACCUCCAAUCAACUUACCACCUAUCGGAAUUCCACCCGUGACAGUUCCACCAGUUAUUACACCAUCCCCUAAAGGAAAACCAUGCCCUUCACCACCAACAACAAAGGCAACAUGCCCAAUUAACACCCUAAAACUUGGAGCUUGUGUAGAUCUUCUUGGUGGUCUAGUUCAUAUUGGAAUUGGUGACCCUG